rnacentral:rRNA from 1 species
AAAAAAUUAAUUACUUUUGAUUUGACAGUUAUACUUAAUUAACUUUUAAAAAUAGAAUUUUUAGGUGAAAUUUUAAUUUUAUUAAAAUGAGAUAUAUUAUACUGUGAAAUUUAUUUUAAAGACAAGGAUUAGAUACCCUUUUAUAUUAAAUGUAAAUUCAAAUUAGGGUAGUAUUAGUUAUGUUCUUGAAACCCAAAGAAUUUGGCGGUAUUUUAUUCUUUUUAGAGGAACCUGUCCUGUAAUUGAUAAUCCACGAUAGAGAAUUACUUAUUUUUGUUUACAUUUUGUAUACCUCCGUCAUCAGAGUAUCUUUUUAGAGAUAAUGUUCUUAUAAUAUAAAGUAAGAUAUGUCAGGUCAAGGUGCAGAUUAUGAAUAAGUAGAGAUGGGUUACAAUAAAAUUAUUUAUAUGGAUUAUUAUUAUUAUUAAUAAUAUGAAGGUGGAUUUAAAAGUAAAUUUAUUUCUUUGGUAAAUUGAUUUUAGCUCUAAAAUAUGCACACAUCGCCCGUCGCUCUUAUUUUAAAAUAAGAUAAGUCGUAACAUAGUAGGAGUACCGGAAGGUGUUCCUAGUUGGUA